AAAGAGAGAGGCCUUCGGGACCAUACAAGACGCCACAGGGGCACCUCCACAGCUACUGCACAGGAGUCCCUGCCGGGGCCGGGACCUGACUGACCUCCCUGCCUGGGCCCCAGACCUCCUCCUCCAGGGCUAGGGGUGGUGAAAUGGGAUCCACGCUGAGGCUGCUUGGCUGUGAGCCGCACAGUGCAUGCUCCUGACACUGUCACCUCCCCGACACUGUCAGCUGCUCAGAGGUCCCGGCCUGGAGAAGGGGCUGAUGGGAACCAGCAGCUCUAGGCACAGCCCUGGGGACCUGCCCUUCUGCACUGUCAGCUUCCCUGGCUAGAGGACACGGCUUCCAGGGGACAGGGACCAGGCCCUGUUAUCUGCUGCCUCCUAGGAGCCUGGCACCAGCAACAGAGAAAUGCGAUGGGGCAGCCCCAACACAGCCAGCCCCGACGUGCUUGGAGUGCCUGGCAAAGGCUGCUGCGACCCGUGCGGGCAGCAGGAGCCACGGCCCCCACCCACACGCAGGGUGGGCCGCAGAACCGCAGGUGCCUGACAGAUUAAAGGCAAGUCACACGGGGCCGCCCUGUCCCCGGCGUGGAAGGCUAUCUGGAGAAGGAGGUCAUCAAUGUUGAAUGGAAACUGAUCUCACAGUGCAGGCAGCUCGCGGCUUCCCUCCCCACCAGGAAGAGGCUCGCUCCUGCUACCCUCCACUUCAGCCUGCCCCCCGUGAGCCUGCCUUCCAGGGAACACGCCCUUGGCUCCUUGCCUGCUCUUCUUGGUUUGGAAAGCUACAGGUGCACAGCCCGAGGGCCACAGCUGGGCUCACCAUCUGCACAGAGCCCU